rnacentral:rRNA from 1 species
GCGCAGGCGGAUUAGAAAGUCUGGUGUUAAAAGCAAUUGCUUAACGAUUGUAUGCAUUGGAAACUUCUAGUCUAGAGUUUGGUAGAGAGUCCUGGAACUCCAUGUGGAGCGGUGAAAUGCGUAGAUAUAUGGAAGAACACCAGAGGCGAAGGCGAGGACUUGGGCCAAUACUGACGCUUAGGCUUGAAAGUGUGGGGAGCAAAUAGGAUUAGAUACCCUAGUAGUCCACACUGUAAACGAUGGAUGUUAAGUGUYGGAGCGAAUACUUCGGUGCUGCAGUUAACACAUUAAACAUCCUGCCUGAGUAGUACAUUCGCAAGAAUGAAACUCAAACGGAAUUGACGGGGACCCGCACAAGUGGUGGAGCAUGUUGCUUAAUUCGACGGUACACGAAAAACCUUACCUAGACUUGACAUCUUGGGCGAAGCUAUAGAAAUAUAGUGGAGGUCAACCCAAUGACAGGUGGUGCAUGGUUGUCGUCAGCUCGUGUCGUGAGAUGUUGGGUUAAGUCCCGCAACGAGCGCAACCCUUAUCGUUAGUUACUUUGUCUAACGAGACUGCCAACGUAAGUUGGAGGAAGGUGGGGAUGACGUCAAAUCAUCAUGCCCCUUAUGUCUAGGGCUGCAAACGUGCUACAAUGGCCAAUACAAWCAGUUGCAAAUCCGUAAGGUGGAGCUAAUCUGUAAAGUUGGUCUCAGUUCGGAUUGAGGGCUGCAAUUCGCCCUCAUGAAGUCGGAAUCACUAGUAAUCGCGAAUCAGCCAUGUCGCGGUGAAUACGUUCUCGGGUCUUGUACACACCGCCCGUCAAACUAUGAGAGCUGGUAAUAUCUAAAACCGUGUUGCUAACCGCAAGGAAGCGCAUGUCUAGG